rnacentral:lncRNA from 1 species
AACACAUGCCUCACUCCAGCUCCAAGUCAGGUCACACCUCGGAGCCCUGCGUCCUGUAUCCCCGAUAGGCUCCUGAAGGCUGGGCCUUUCCAGGAUAGCCUUCUGGCCUGUCUCUGCCCCAACCCUGACCCUCCCUACCUCCAUAGAGGGAAUUUUGUCUGGUUCAAGAAGUCAUACCCCAACCCAAGAGAAGCCUUGGACAUCUCUCAUAAGACAUCCAAGGGACAGAGCUCCUGGGAGACCUAGAGUGAGCUGGAGAGUGAACAACAUACCCCACUGGGAAGUAAGCAGCCCUGGAUUCUGCCUCUUGCUAACUGAUUCGUUUCGAACCCUGUUUUUCUAUCUGUAAAAGGGACUGUAACUCCCCUGCCCCUGCCUAGAUUCUCAUACCUGGAGACUAGGGGGCUAAGACCCCUUCUAGAGAUAAAAAUAAAAGUCUUAAAGAGAA